rnacentral:tRNA from 2 species
GGGGCUGUAGCUCAGUUGGGAGAGCACCUGCUUUGCAAGCAGGGGGUCAGCGGUUCGAUCCCGCUCAGCUCCACCA